GUCUCUGUGGCGCAAUCGGUUAGCGCGUUCGGCUGUUAACGGAAAGUUUGUUGGUUCAAGCCCACCCAGGGACG
rfam:Danio rerio chromosome 2, GRCz11 reference primary assembly.